GGGGAAUUUUCCGCAAUGGGCGAAAGCCUGACGGAGCAAUACCGCGUGAGGGAUGACGGCCUAUGGGUUGUAAACCUCUUUUCUCAGGGAGGAAUCAAUGACGUGUACCUGAGGAAUAAGCAUCGGCUAACUCCGUGCCAGCAGCCGCGGUAAGACGGAGGAUGCAAGUGUUAUCCGGAAUCACUGGGCGUAAAGCGUCUGUAGGUGGUCUAAUAAGUCAACUGUUAAAUCUUGAGGCUCAACCUCAAAACCGCAGUCGAAACUAUUAGACUCGAGUAUAGUAGGGGUAAAGGGAAUUUCCAGUGGAGCGGUGAAAUGCGUAGAGAUUGGAGAGAACACCGAUGGCGAAGGCACUUUACUGGGCUAUUACUAACACUGAGAGACGAAAGCUAGGGUAGCAAAUGGGAUUAGAUACCCCAGUAGUC
rnacentral:rRNA from 1 species